GAAAUGCGAUAAGUAGUGUGAAUUGCAGAAUUCAGUGAAUCAUCGAAUCUUUGAACGCACAUCGCGCCCCUCGGUAUUCCGUGGGGCAUGCCUGUUCGAGCGUCAUCUACACCCUCAAGCUCUGCUUGGUGUUGGGCGUCUGUCCCGCCUCCUUCGCGCGCGGACUCGCCCCAAAUCCAUUGGCGGCGGCCCUUGCCUCCCUCUCGCGCAGCACAUUGCGCUUCUCGAGGCGCGGCGGACCGCGUCCAGCAAGCAACCGUCACACCGUCUUUGACCUCGGAUCAGGUAGGGAUACCCGCUGAACUUAAGC
rnacentral:misc_RNA from 1 species